ensembl:lncRNA
AGCUAUCAUAUCUUCCUAUGAAAGUCACAAGCAAGAGAUGAAUUGACAUCCUGUGUAGGAAAUUGAAUAGAAGAAAGAAAUCAAGUAGAAAUUCAAAUCUCUUCCCUGACUCUCCCAGGAACAUAUGAAAGUGACUUCCAUAAUGGACAAGUCAAGACAAUAAAAAUCUUUGGAAAAUCUGCCUCAAAUCUCAGUGCACCAAACCCCACUAUGUCCUCAGCAAGGAUUCCAGUCACAGGUAUAUGAUUGCUAAAUCACAAGGAGCCACGAAAAGGUAUAGGACCAGCGGUGAAGC